AAGGACAAGACACCAGUAAACCAAACGGCUAAAAUAAUAAAUCCUAAAGCACUAAAGAAACCGUCCAUUAGAAAGAAAGCCAUAAAUGUAAAAGAACAAAGCCCAACCUCAGCCAAAACAAAAACCAAAAUACCAGCCGAAACAUCUUCUCGCUUCUUGGUAAAAGAUAAACAUUCAAAUGAAAGAACAAAGAAAUCCAAAGCUUUGAGUCCUACCAUGGAGAUUCAAAAGAACUUUCUCCAAAAUCAAAGCAAAAUACAACAAAUUUUAGAGCCUUUUAAGCUGAUCCGCCUUAUCUUUUUCCACUAUCAACGAAACCGAGCCAGGAACCCCAUCAACCCAGGUACCAGAAAACUGUCUUCUCCUUCCUUCUAUCGCCAAAGUGUGGGCCGCUCAAUUUAUCCAGCGAGGAACAAACAGGCAUCGAAAACCCAUUCGCUGAACAAAAAGUAAAGUACUUUCACAUGCCCUAGCUUCAGCCACGAGCACGUCAACUACGUCCGAAAAUAGAUAAGUGUCUACUCCUACUAUUUCUCCUUCAGAAUCUCUAGCUAGGACUGCUGUUGAAGAAGUUUUAGAAUCACUUUGAAAAGUUGCAUCAAAAUUUAAUUUGAUGAACCCUAGAUUUGGGGGCCUCCAAACUUCAUUCGGUAGGGAAAUACAAGAAACUUCAAUUUUCUCUUGGCAUAGAUUAAGUUCUUGACCAUAGCCUCGAAUGAAACCUAGCAAUUCCUGCAAAGAGAAAUUAAUACCUUCAUAAAUCAACUUAUUCCUUCUGUACCACAAAGCCCAUAAGGAAAUUGCAAAAAGCUGUUUGUUUAGAUUAUCAACUAAACAGAAAGAAUUAACAAAUUGAUUUUUGUAGCUCAAGGCGUUGUCGACUGGAGCGAUUUUGAUUUGAAGAGAUGCCCAGACACUCUAUAAAGUAUCACAGGACCACAAUAGAUGGUCAGUAUUCUCUGAUGCAGCUUUACAAAGAGGACAAACAACACUAACCCGCAAGGUUCUUUGAUUCAGAUUACAGUAAUUAGGCAAGAAAUUAUUGAAUAAUCUCCAGACAUGUAUUUUAACUUUUGCUGGUAUGCGCAUAGCCCAUAAAGAUCUAUAAAAAUCCUUGAAACCCACAUUGCUAGGAUUGGUGUAAUUUGUGCUUAGAAAGUGUUCUGUAAUUAAGGCCUUGUAACCACUUUUUACAGAGUAUUCCCCCAAGCCAUCAUGCCUUUAGACUAACUUGUCAUCUGAACUAGCUUCUGAUAACGGAAUGGACAGAAUGCAAUCUGCAUGUUCACCAUCGACAAUGUUAUGAAUCAGUUCCUUGUUCCAGGAAUCCAAAGGUCAUUCCAAAUGUUUAUGUUAGCCGUGUUGCCAACUAGUUCUAAAAUCCCAACUUCAAUCAGAUCCCUAGCACUACAAAUGCUCUUUCAAGUAAAUAUUGGGUAAGAUCCUAACUUUGCUAAUAGAAUAUCUGAAUGAGGAUAAUAACGGGCCUUAAGAACUUUGGCUUACAAACAGUUGUGCUGGGACAAUAGACGCCAAAAUUGCUUUGGUAAUAAGGCUUUAUUAAACAAAAACAAAUUUUUAAA